AUUGAACGCUGGCGGCAUGCCUUACACAUGCAAGUCGAACGGUAACAGGUCUUCGGAUGCUGACGAGUGGCGAACGGGUGAGUAAUACAUCGGAACGUGCCCGAUCGUGGGGGAUAACGAGGCGAAAGCUUUGCUAAUACCGCAUACGAUCUACGGAUGAAAGCGGGGGAUCUUCGGACCUCGCGCGGACGGAGCGGCCGAUGGCAGAUUAGGUAGUUGGUGGGAUAAAAGCUUACCAAGCCGACGAUCUGUAGCUGGUCUGAGAGGAUGAUCAGCCACACUGGGACUGAGACACGGCCCAGACUCCUGCGGGAGGCAGCAGUGGGGAAUUUUGGACAAUGGGCGAAAGCCUGAUCCAGCCAUGCCGCGUGCAGGAUGAAGGCCUUCGGGUUGUAAACUGCUUUUGUACGGAACGAAAAGCCUCUUUCUAAUAAAGAGGGGUCAUGACGGUACCGUAAGAAUAAGCACCGGCUAACUACGUG
rnacentral:rRNA from 1 species